rnacentral:rRNA from 1 species
GGGGAAUUUUGGACAAUGGGCGCAAGCCUGAUCCAGCCAUGCCGCGUGUCUGAAGAAGGCCUUCGGGUUGUAAAGGACUUUUGUCAGGGAAGAAAAGGCUGUCGCUAAUACCGACAGUUGAUGACGGUACCUGAAGAAUAAGCACCGGCUAACUACGUGCCAGCAGCCGCGGUAAUACGUAGGGUGCGAGCGUUAAUCGGAAUUACUGGGCGUAAAGCGAGCGCAGACGGUUACUUAAGCAGGAUGUGAAAUCCCCGGGCUCAACCUGGGAACUGCGUUCUGAACUGGGUGACUAGAGUGUGUCAGAGGGAGGUAGAAUUCCACGUGUAGCAGUGAAAUGCGUAGAGAUGUGGAGGAAUACCGAUGGCGAAGGCAGCCUCCUGGGAUAACACUGACGUUCAUGCUCGAAAGCGUGGGUAGCAAACAGGAUUAGAUACCCUGGUAGUCCACGCCCUAAACGAUGUCAAUUAGCUGUUGGGCAACUUGAUUGCUUAGUAGCGUAGCUAACGCGUGAAAUUGACCGCCUGGGAGUACGGUCGCAAGAUUA